GCUCAUGAUGGAUAGCUCAGUCAGAGCAUGAGACUCCUAAUCUCCAAGUCGUGGGUUUGAGCCCCACGUUGGGCA